CGGACCUCGCCCCCGACUCCAGCUGCAGGUAAACCUCGUCCGGACUCCUACGGGUGCCGGACUUCGCCCCUGACUUUAAUUGCAGGUAGACUUCGCUCGGACUCCUACGGGAGCCGAACUCCACCCACGACUUCACCUGCAGACUUCGUCCGGACUCCUACGGGAGCCGGAAUCCGCCCACGACUCCAGUCGCAGGUAAACCUCGUUCGGACUCCUAUGGGAGCUGGACUUCGCCCCUGACUUUAAUUGCAGGUAGACUUCGCCC
rnacentral:lncRNA from 1 species